GCACAGCCAUAACUCUGAUAUGGACUUCAGCAGAGAUAGAAGUAUGAAUGGAUCCGUAAUAAUUUCAAAGAGCAAGAUCUGAGACUCUGUCCAAUUUCCUCGAAUUAAUAACUGUCUGUAGGAUAUGACCAAGCAAUUUGGAACCUGACAGCAGAGUGUUCUCUCUGCAAUGAUUAGAAGGAUUUCCUUCAAGGUGGAUGAAGCACCAGUAUAAGUGGAGCAGCAUGCAGUUACAGAAGAACAUGACUGCUGAUGUCCCCAUGUAUUUUCAACACCAAUAAGCCAAUGUCUCCCUUUUUAUCAGGCUUCUGAUCUGUAAAAAUACUGAGGACUGUGCAAUUCUAUUGAAGUGCAUUCACUUUUAUCAGCUCAUUCCAUUCAUCUCCUUGCAAGAAGACAGGUGUUGUGGUUUAACCUGGCAUCACAUAGUUGUUCACUCAUUCUCCCCCUUCCUAGUGGGCUGAAUGAGAGAAUGGGGGAAAGAGAAGUAGAACUUGUGGAUUGAGAUAAAAGCUAUUUACUAAGAUACAGAAAAGGAUCAUAGUUAUGACUGUGUGUAUGUGUGUGUAGUUGUCACUAUCCUGGAUUUAACCAAAAGGGCAGUGCAAUAAUCUUUAUUGUACAGCAUUUUUAAAUAAAACACAGCUACAUUUU
rnacentral:lncRNA from 7 species